CAGAAAAUAGUUUAAUUAGAAUACUAGCUUUGGGGGUUAGUGGCAGGAGUUUGAAUCUUCUUUUUCUGG
rnacentral:tRNA from 1 species